GACGAACGCUGGCGGCGUGCCUAAUACAUGCAAGUCGAACGCAGUGGGGACGGGUGAGUAACACGUGGGUAACCUCCCAUCAGAGGGGAUAACACUAGGAAACAGGUGCUAAACCGAUACUGAUGGAUGAACCCGCGGUGUAUUAGCUAGUUGGUGAGGUAACGGCUCACCAAGGCCACGAUGCAUAGACGACCUGAGAGGGUGAUCGGCCAGAGUGGGACAGGUACACGGCCCGAACUCCUACGGUAGGCAGCAGGAGGGAAGCUUCGGCAAUGGACGAAAGUCUGACCGAGCAACGCCGCGUGAGUGAAGAAGGUUUUCGGAUCGUAAAACUCUGUUGUUAGAGAAGCGGGAUCUAACCAGAAAGCCACGGCUAACGACGGGCCAGCAGCCGCGGUAAUUC
rnacentral:rRNA from 1 species